ACUGAAUCAGUAGCGAAAUCCGACUGCUAAUUGUUUUGUCCAAAAAUAUAGCCAAAUCGGACUCCCGCGAACAUAUGCAUGUCGGAGUAACAUUAUGAUCUACAAAUAUCUGAAGCGAGGGUCAAUGGAAUUCUGGAUAACUCGUAAUAUUUUCACAAAAAAAGCAGGAGUCAAUUAUCUCAUUUUCAUCAGGUCGGUAUAACACUAAGUGCCUGAUAAUACUAAUACCAGAUGUGCAACCGUAGCAUCAUGACAACCAGCAGUGCGCGGAAAUAAGUUGCUUUCAAAAUAACACGGACUUACAUGGUUAGUGAACAUGUUAUCCUUCCCGCUGUCUUAAACAUCACCAACUGAACUCCUGCACGAUUCCCAUGUAUUAAAACCACAUCACAUGCUGAAUGAUUUGCAAUACCUAAAUACAAUACUCAAGAUACAAUCUACAAUGGCUACAUAUGAAAUCUAGCUGUGAACCAAACACUUUUUAGUAAUCACCUAGCUUACUAAUUAGUUUGUCAUCACUUAUGGCACUGAUUAGACAGCUUGUACACGCCUAAACGCCCUUGACAUUUCUAUAGUUGUGCCAUGCAUACAUACCCAGUCCAGUUCAGUUCAAUUGCCCCUAGGAAUUAAGCACAAACAACAACAAGGAGCACCAACCAAAGUGAAGAGGAACACAAAGGUAGACGAGCACUGGAGGGAGCAGACGUCCCUGUCCAGCACACUGCGGCAUCGCGUCCUCGUUGGUAGUGUGGUGCAUGGUGAGUGCCGUGGAAAGUCCCCGCGCUGCCUGCUCAGGCCCCUCGCGUCGCCGUUGUCGGCCAUUACCUCGCCGUGGAGAGAGAGAGAUGGGUCAGGUGCGUGAUCGUGGGUUAGUGGCGGUGCGGAGAUUAAGGAAGAAUCCUUCCCCGACACCGAGCUGAGGCAAACAAGCGCCGCACGGAACGGAUCUCCCACACCCACACCGUCGACCCACAGAGGCGGGGCUCAAUGACCGGCACAAUGACGCAAAGGAAAGGGGGUGGGGAGGAGCGAAAAGGUGGAGGGGGAGCUGGGGGCUCUAUGUGGCGUCGUAGAGGAGGAGGCGACACGGCGGAAGGCAGAUGCAGGGCUAUGAUGCACGGAGGGAUCAGGGGCACUCGCAGCGGCCGACACACAAAGGGGAUCGGCCGGCAUUCAGGGAAGCGCAACGGAUAGGUUGAAGAGGGCAUGGAACAUAUGUGUGUGGUCAAACCGACUCAAAACCAAGAUCCAUCCCCUUACGGGUGGGGCCACGGGCGCCGCUUGAAACCUCGAUUAACCACAAGGCAGUAAAUCCUGGGAGCUUAGUAACCUCGAUUCACUCAGUUGGAAGUCACCCUAUGGGCAAUCUGGAGCUUGAGGAGAAAUGUGUUACACGACGAGACAUAUCAGACGCCCUAUGCGAACAAUCCUUUUGUUAAUUUCUGCAUAUCUUACUUGCAGGCAUUGGACAAACCAUGAGCUGAGACAGACUCGAAUGCCCCAAUUAGACCAAACCGUUUGAUUGCACCACUAGAGAAUAUGAGCAAAAUCAACGUUGAUGCCGCUCUAUCUAGAAACGUCGUGGUAGGAGUUGUUGCCGUCAUGUGUAGGAACAUCCAGGGUAUAUUGGAGCCUCGACGAUCAUUUUUGUGGGAAUUUUUGAUCACCACGCUUAAAGCCCUAGCAGUUCUAGAAGCGGUGUCCUUGAUAGAUGAUUUCUAUGAGUGAAGAAUUUAUAUUGCCUCAGAUUGCAAGAUUGUCAUUGAUGAUAUCAAGCAGAAGAGUGCGACAGUUUAUAGCGCGAUUAUUCGAGAAAUCAAAGAUUAUUCUAAUCUUUUCUACUUCUUGUUUAUUUAGUCAUGAGUAUAGGAGGUCGAAUAUCGAGGCUCACAAUUUUAGCAAAGUAUAUUCUCUCACUUGAGAUUAGCGGUUAUAUUUGGCUAGCCAAAAAUCUAGGUGAUCUUACUUUCGUUCAUGUAAACAUUACGACGAGUUAGCUAAAAGCUUUAAAAAAUAGCUAACUAAAAACUUUGCGAGGUUGUCUAAAAAAAAUUUGAAGUGAAAAGUUUUUUAAAAAAAAAUAAAAAGAAAAAAAAACUCAGUACCGUCGCGUGUCAAGCUCUUUCUCGUUCCCCAACGAGCAAGAGACACAUCGUUUCCCCCAAAUCUCACCCCCGGAG
rnacentral:lncRNA from 1 species